GCCCGGUUAGCUCAGUCGGUAGAGCAUCAGACUUUUAAUCUGAGGGUCGCGGGUUCGAGUCCCUCACCGGGCG
rnacentral:tRNA from 2 species